UAAACACUCUUGUGACCUGCAUUUGUCUG
rnacentral:piRNA from 1 species